rnacentral:rRNA from 1 species
AUUGAACGCUGGCGGCAGGCCUAACACAUGCAAGUCGAGCGAGCGGCGGACGGGUGAGUAAUGUCUGGGGAUCUGCCCGAUAGAGGGGGAUAACUACUGGAAACGGUGGCUACUACCGCAUACUAUCGGAUGAACCCAUAUGGGAUUAGCUAGUAGGGGGGGUAAAGGCUCACCUAGGCGACGAUCUCUAGCUGGUCUGAGAGGAUGAUCAGCCACACUGGAACUGAGACACGGCCAAGACUCCUACGGGAGGCAGCAGUGGGGAAUAUUGCACAAUGGGCGCAAGCCUGAUGCAGCCAUGCCGCGUGUAGGAAGAAGGCCUUCGGGUUGUAAAGUACUUUCAGUGGGGAGGCGUUACCGACAGAAGAAGCACCGGCUAACUCCGUGCCAGCCGCCGCGGUAAUAC